GUUAGUGCGUACCUCUUCUAGCAGGUAAACCGGAAGUGGGGAUGGAUCCCAGAAGGAAAAAUCGAAAGAUUCUCUGAGAAUCACGUAUUCUGAAGAAAUAACAAAAAAACGUAGAUAGUGCCUCUCUUCAAAAUUGACUCUUAUAAAUCAAAAUAUCUGUACUUCACAUUUUUCCCCAUCUUUAAAGAAAUUUGUGACCACUUUAUCAAACCG
rnacentral:lncRNA from 1 species